rnacentral:rRNA from 1 species
AUAUUGGACAAUGGGCUAAAGCCUGAUCCAGCAAUGCCGCGUGUGUGAAGAAGGCCUGAGGGUUGUAAAGCACUUUCAGUUGGGAAGAAAAGCUUUGGGUUAAUACCCUAAAGUCUUGACGUUACCAACAGAAGAAGCACCGGCUAACUCUGUGCCAGCAGCCGCGGUAAUACAGAGGGUGCGAGCGUUAAUCGGAAUUACUGGGCGUAAAGCNUGCGUAGGCUGUUAAGUCAGUCGGAUGUGAAAGCCCAAGGCUUAACCUUGGAACUGCAUUCGAUACUGCUUAGCUAGAGUACAGUAGAGGGAAGCGGAAUUCCUAGUGUAGCGGUGAAAUGCGUAGAUAUUAGGAAGAACACCAGUGGCGAAGGCGGCUUCCUGGACUGAUACUGACGCUGAGGUACGAAAGCGUGGGGAGCAAACAGGAUUAGAUACCCUGGUAGUCCACGCCCUAAACGAUGAGAACUAGAUGUUGGGGGAAAUUAAUCCCUUAGUAUCGCAGCUAACGCGAUAAGUUCUCCGCCUGGGGAGUACGACCGCAAGGUUAAAACUCAAAUGAAUUGACGGGGGCCCGCACAAGCGGUGGAGCAUGUGGUUUAAUUCGAUGCAACGCGAAGAACCUUACCUGGCCUUGACAUUUU